AGUUUGAUCCUGGCUCAGGACGAACGCUGGCGGCGCGCCUAACACAUGCAAGUCGAACGGAGCUGAGAGAAGCUUGCUUUUCUUAGCUUAGUGGCGAACGGGUGAGUAACGCGUGAGUAACCUGCCCUGGAGUGGGGGACAACAGUUGGAAACGACUGCUAAUACCGCAUAAGCCCACGAUCCGGCAUCGGAUUGAGGGAAAAGGAUUUAUUCGCUUCAGGAUGGACCCGCGUCUGAUUAGGUAGUUGGUGGGGUAACGGCCUACCAAGCCGACGAUCAGUAGCCGACCUGAGAGGGUGACCGGCCACAUUGGGACUGAGACACGGCCCAGACUCCUACGGGAGGCAGCAGUGGGGAAUAUUGCACAAUGGGGGAAACCCUGAUGCAGCAACGCCGCGUGAGUGAAGAAGUAUUUCGGUAUGUAAAGCUCUAUCAGCAGGGAAGAUAAUGACGGUACCUGACCAAGAAGCUCCGGCUAAAUACGUGCCAGCCGCCGCGGUAAUAC
rnacentral:rRNA from 1 species